rnacentral:rRNA from 1 species
UACGAAGGGGGCUAGCGUUGCUCGGAAUCACUGGGCGUAAAGGGUGCGUAGGCGGGUCUUUUAAGUCAGGGGUGAAAUCCUGGAGCUCAACUCCAGAACUGCCUUUGAUACUGAAGAUCUUGAGUUCGGGAGAGGUGAGUGGAACUGCGAGUGUAGAGGUGAAAUUCGUAGAUAUUGGGAAGAACACCGGUGGCGAAGGCGGCUCUCUGGGCCGAUACUGACGCUGAGGAGCGAAAGCGUGGGGAGCGAACAGG